GGCGGCGCUCCGGGGUGCGCGCGUGGCGCGUUGAGAUGGGCGGAAUGCCCGAACCCGCGAACUUGAUCCGGUUCAUCCCGGCGUAAGAAGAGCGUCCUUCCUGCGC
rnacentral:ncRNA from 2 species